rnacentral:misc_RNA from 1 species
GAACUGCGAUAAGUAAUGUGAAUUGCAGAAUUCAGUGAAUCAUCGAGUCUUUGAACGCACAUUGCGCCCCCUGGCAUUCCGGGGGGCAUGCCUGUCCGAGCCUCAUUGCUGCCCUUCAAGCCCGGCUUGUGUGUUGGGUCGUCGUCCCCUCCGGGGGACGGGCCCGAAAGGCAGCGGCGGCACCGCGUCCGGUCCUCGAGCGUAUGGGGCUUUGUCACCCGCUCGAUAAGGACCGGCCGGGCGCCAGCCGGCGUCUCCAACCUUUUUUUCUCAGGUUGACCUCGGAUCAGGUAGGGAUACCCGCUGAACUUAAGC